GCGAGCUGGGUUCAGAACGUCGUGAGACAGUUCGGUCCCUAUCUGUUGUGGGCGUUGGAAAUUUGAGGAGCGCUGUCCCUAGUACGAGAGGACCAGGAUGGACGUACCUAUGGUGCACCAGUUGUCUUGCCAAAGGCACAGCUGGAUAGCUAAGUACGGAUCGGAUAAACGCUGAAGGCAUCUAAGCGUGAAACCGACUCCAAGAUUAGAUUUCCCAUUCACUUGAUGAAGUAAGACCCCUUAUAGACUAUGAGGUUGAUAGGUUAGAGAUGUAAGUACAGCAAUGUAUUAAGUUGACUAAUACUAAUAGGUCGAGGAUUUUAUCAUA
rnacentral:rRNA from 1 species